UACGGGGGGGGCAAGCGUUGUUCGGAAUUACUGGGCGUAAAGGGCUCGUAGGCGGCCAACUAAGUCAGACGUGAAAUCCCUCGGCUUAACCGGGGAACUGCGUCUGAUACUGGAUGGCUUGAGAUUGGGGAGAGGGAUGCGGAAUUCCAGGUGUAGCGGUGAAAAUGCGUAGAUAUCGGAGGAACACCGGUGGCGAAGGCGGCAUCCUGGA
rnacentral:rRNA from 1 species